rnacentral:rRNA from 1 species
AGGGUUUGAUCCUGGCUCAGAUUGAACGCUGGCGGCAGGCCUAACACAUGCAAGUCGAGCGGUAACAGGGAUAGCUUGCUAUCUGCUGACGAGCGGCGGACGGGUGCGUAACACGUAGGAAUCUACCCAGUAGCGGGGGAUAGCCCGGAGAAAUCCGGAUUAAUACCGCAUACGCCCUAAGGGGGAAAGCAGGGGAUCUUCGGACCUUGCACUACUGGAUGAGCCUGCGUCGGAUUAGCUAGUUGGUGGGGUAAAAGCCUACCAAGGCAACGAUCCGUAGCUGGUCUGAGAGGAUGAUCAGCCACACUGGGACUGAGACACGGCCCAGACUCCUACGGGAGGCAGCAGUGGGGAAUAUUGCACAAUGGGCGCAAGCCUGAUGCAGCCAUGCCGCGUGUGUGAAGAAGGCUCUAGGGUUGUAAAGCACUUUCAGCGAGGAGGAAAGGGGUUGAGCUAAUACCUCAGCUCUGUGACGUUACUCGCAGAAGAAGCACCGGCUAACUCCGUGCCAGCAGCCGCGGUAAUACGGAGGGUGCGAGCGUUAAUCGGGAUUACUGGGCGUAAAGCGUACGUAGGCGGCUACUUAAGUGGGAUGUGAAAGCCCUGGGCUCAACCUGGGAACUGCAUCCCAAACUGGGUAGCUAGAGUGCGAGAGAGGAGUGUGGAAUUUCCUGUGUAGCGGUGAAAUGCGUAGAUAUAGGAAGGAACACCAGUGGCGAAGGCGACACUCUGGCUUUGACACUGACGCUGAGGUACGAAAGCGUGGGGAGCAAACAGGAUUAGAUACCCUGGUUAGUCCACGCCGUAAACGAUGUCGACUAGUUGUUGGGAAGUCUUAGUACUUUUGGGUGACGAAGCUAACGCGAUAGUUCGACGCCUGGGGAGUACGGCCGCAAGGUUAAAACUCAAAUGAAUUGACGGGGGCCCGCACAGCGGUGGAGCAUGUGGUUAAUUCGAAGCAACGCGAAGACCUUACCUGCCUUGACAUCCUGCUGACUUUCUAAGAGAUAGAUAGGUGCCUUCGGGAAUCGCAUGGACAGGGC